rnacentral:pre_miRNA from 1 species
GUUGCUAUUAUUUAGCUGAAUGGGGGUGCUAGUUUCCCUUGUCCUUAGAUUUUUGAAUAAGGCAAACUAGCACCCCCAUUCAGCUAAAUAAUAGCAAC